rnacentral:lncRNA from 1 species
GGGGGGGGGGGGGGGGGGGGGGGGGGGGGGGGGGGGGGGGGGGGGGGGGGGGGGGGGGGGGGGGGGGGGGGGGGGGGGGGGGGGGGGGGGGGGGGGGGGGGGGGGGGGGGGGGGGGGGGCGGGGCCUAUCAGACCGCUGGGUGAGCCUCUGCCGCCCCCGGCCGCAGGCCCUCCCCGCAGUGAGAAUCGCAGAAUGGUUUGGGCUGGAAGAGACGUUAAAGCUCAUCCAGUGCCACCCCUGCCACGGGCAGGGACACCUCCCACUGUCCCAGGCUGCUCCAGCCCCAGUGUCCAGCCUGGCCCUGGGCACUGCCAGGGAUCCAGGGGCAGCCACAGCUGCUCUGGGCACCCUGUGCCAGCCCUCCCCACCCUCCCAGGGACCAAUUCCUGCCCAAUAUCCCAUCCAGCCCUGCCCUCUGGCAGUGGGAGCCAUUCCCUGUGUCCUGUCCCUCCAUCCCUUGUCCCCAGUUCCUCUCCAGCUCUCCUGGAGCCCCUUUAGGCCCUGGCAGGGGCUCUGAGCUCUCCCUGGAGCCUUCUCCUCUCCAGGGGAACAUUCUCAGCCUGUGCUAAACUAGCACAGACCCACUGCCCACCUCCCCGACCAAGGGAUGUGCAAUUUGUCUUUACCACUAAGGAAAAUGAUGUAAUGCCUCUGGAUGUUGGAGCAACCCAAGUUUCACAUCAAGGAUAUGACAAGGGCGCUUUCUAGCCUGCCCUGCUGGACAUUCGGGGCCUACCAGAGCCCAGGGUUCACCACGUGAGACGUGACAUUGGCCAGCAGAGGGGAUUUGCCAGCAGACUGCUUUGAAGUGCCCAGGAACUGGAGUCAUCUCCUUCCUUGGAUGCAGGCUUCACCUGCUCUACCUGCGGCUGUCCUUGGGCAUCCCUAGCCAUGGCUAUCUCCAGGCUGAUCAUUCACAAAUCUCCAUACUCUGCUCUCCCCCUGCAGCUGUGCUCCAGAUCCCUCUGCUCCCAGCACUGCUUUGAUGGGUACGUACUCAGAAAGGAGUGUGGUUUUUUUUCUCGGCCAUGCCACAUCCCAAGCUGUGUGCCAGAUCCAUGCUCUCCCUGGGUGGUGUUCUCAUGCAAAAUUCAACAUCCACUCUGUCCACUGCUUUACAAUCCUCAGUCCUCACAUCUCACCUGCUAUAGCCUCCUCCUUGAACAUCCUUCAUGUCUUCAGUGGCCUUCUUUGGCUCACAGGAGAGAAAAUAACCUUAAUUGUCACCACUUCUGGCCACCAUGAACAGCGCAGCCAUCCACCUCGUUCGCUCCAAGUUCCCUGCUGCUUUUUUUUCCUUGUGCUUACCUUUGAAGGCUGCAGUGGCUGCUUGUCACCACCCUGGUCCUCCUCACCUCCUGUUCCUUUUACAGUCCAACGGUUCUCCCCAGCUGUCCCGUCUUCAGCGGCCGUGGGAGGGGUUUCAGGACCGGAGGCUAUGGGAGCUCCCUAG